GAGUUUGAUCAUGGCUCAGGAUUAACGCUGGCGGCAUGCCUAAUACAUGCAAGUCGAACGGAGUAGCAAUACUUAGUGGCGAACGGGUGAGUAACACGUAUCUAAUCUACCAUUUAGUGGGGAAUAACUGUUGGAAACGACAGCUAAUACCGCAUAAUAUUGCUGGAUAAUUUCCAGUAAUGAAAGGAGCUUUCAAGCUCCGCUGAUUGAUGAGGAUGCGGCGCAUUAGCUAGUUGGUAGGGUAAUGGCCUACCAAGGCAAUGAUGCGUAGCCGAUCUGAGAGGAUGAACGGCCACAUUGGGACUGAGACACGGCCCAAACUUCUACGGAAGGCAGCAGUAGGGAAUUUUUCACAAUGGGCGAAAGCCUGAUGGAGCAAUGCCGCGUGUCUGAUGAAGGUCUUCGGAUUGUAAAGGUCUGUUGUAAGGGAAGAAAUGGUAAAACAGGAAAUGGUUUUAUCUAUGACGGUACCUUACCAGAAAGCCACGGCUAACUAUGUGCCAGCAGCCGCGGUAAUACAUAGGUGGCAAGCGUUAUCCGGAUUUAUUGGGCGUAAAGGGUGCGUAGACGGUUUUGCAAGUCUGAGGUUAAAUUUAGGAGCUCAACUCCUAAUCGCCUUGGAAACUACAAGACUAGAGUAUAGGAGAGGUUAGUGGAAUUCCAUGUGUAGCGGUGGAAUGUGUAGAUAUAUGGAGGACACCAGUGGCGAAG
rnacentral:rRNA from 1 species